GAUGUUAGCUGUGGGUGACGAGCACCGUUCACGGCACUGCAAGGACCAUUUCUCAGGACCAGGGAGAAGAUGAAAAUGAGGGGCACAGCAAGCCCAGGAGCUGUGGCCAGGGGUGGGCGGAGCUGGUCAUGUGAGUGCAGGGAGGCCCAAGGCCACUCUCUGCAGGGCUGAGUGACCUCGGUCUUGAGGAGCGUGCUUCCUGUUUGGAGCCCCCAUGUUACCAUCCGCAGCUCUGAGUACCGAGCGGUGCCAAGGCAGAGAGGCCUCAAGCUCCUUCUCAAGUGGCACGGUCUGCAGGAUGGCCACCCUGGGAGCUACGGGGCUGCUGCCUCCUGCUAAGAGGACAGGAGAAGCGGACCCAGAGGGCCCACCCAGUGGGGCUCAGCCCUGGGAGGCUUAGCCUGGGCGGCCUGUACACAUCACCAACUUUCUGAACCAUCUGGAAAUAACUUAUGAGUAUCUCCUAAAAACAAAGAUGUUCUCUUCCACGACCCCGGCUCGAUGAUCAAAUUCAGGAAGCUUGGUGCCGAUCCGCCUCCACUGUCCAACGCACAGUCUUUACAGCAGUGACAACUCUGCCCUGUAGCAGUUAACGGUCAAGCUCUACACAUCAGCCAGCGGGGCACACAAGGGGCUCUGUGGGGUCCUCUGGAGCCUGUCCCCUGAGGUGGCGCCUUCCAGCAGAUGCACUUCUCUGAAGCCAUCCUAAAGGCGCCACGGGGUGCGCCCUGGAGCACACACCUGCUGACUGGCACUUGGAGAUGGUGCCUAAAUGCCUCGGCCACCAGCUGCUGACUCCCUUCGAAGGACCAGGGGAGAAGACACCCACCGGCAGCACACGCAGCUCCGUGACAAAUCCCAACCUGACCCUGCAGCCUAACUUAUUGGUGCGCUUAGAUAUUUUAAAGUGAAAAUCCCUACUUCCAGCUUAAUUCCUUAAUUCCGGUUUCACUUCUGGCUGUUAACCCGAGGGUUCCUCCGUGCAGUUUUGGGAUUUCCAGCCACCAAGGAGAAGGCACCCUGCGAGGCCCUGCGUGCGGGAUUGGCCUCCGGGCCCCUGCAUGCGCAGUCCCCUGGCCUGUGAUGCUCCUUCCCUCCUCUUCCCCGGCGGGCCCCUGCUUUUCCUCGGGCUCUGCUUAUGUGGCACUCCUCCCGGAGGCCAUGCUGGACCCCAAGGUUGCCUGUGCCAGUCCUCAGUUGCGUAAAACUGCACACUCUUCCAGCAUUUUCCCACCGUGACCCCGCGGGAGGACGCGUAUUUUCACCGCCACCCAGCAGAGGGUCAAAGCUGCAAAGGCUGGAGACCUCACAACUCCAGGGAGGGCCGCUCACAGGGUGCACUGGGGCCUUGGGAGGGGUGGGCCUGGCAGCCCUGAAUCUGAACACAAGUGAAAGACGCAAAAGCUUCCAAAUCAGGACAUUACCUGCGUGCAGAUCAGGAUGUACAUGCAAAGGUGCUAUCAAACACAACGGCACUGGUAUUUUAACACAACUGGGGCGGGGCGUGGGGUGGGGGUAGGGAUCUUGAAAUCAACACUCAGUAGCAACAUUUGGAGUGGUGCAAAUUGGGGGUGGGGCGGCCCUGCUCAGACUCGGCAGCAGAGGCAUGGCCGAGCCACUUCUCUCUGGAGUCACUGCUUCGAGGUGCAACCCCACUCCCACCACGGUCACUGGGGGCAGGAAGAGCAGCGCCAGGGCCCCUGCUCAGCAAGGCAGGCUCCCCGCUCUGAAUCCAAACGCUGGCGAUGUCCUGUAAUCAUUCUUUGGUGUCCAGGAAGAACCAAGCUGUAACAGUAAGUUCUCUCCUCAGGAUCCACAUUUAACUCAAGUACAGAGUUUAGCUAACCAUAGGGUUCUAGCAAGCAAAUGGGAUUUUUAAAUCCAAAGUUUCAUUUUCUCUUCUGGAAAGGGGCAAUCGGAAGUCUGAGACAAGAAAGUGCGUGUCAAGCUACCUCUGGUUUUGUUCCACUCCUGUUCUCCUUGGUGUGGCGUGGUGGCCAGUCCCUCAGAACCUUCCAGGUACGUGACAGCUGUAUCAUAAAGAAUUUAACCUGGCCCAAAGAAAGGUCUGGCCUUUGCCCUUGGCUCCUGGGAGGCCAUGUCUCUGCCCUUGAAUGUCCUGCCUGGUGGGGUGCCUUUGUUUAGCUGGGGGCCUUUGGCACAGUCUAAGUGUGAUUCCAGGCAGGGGCGUCGGGUCAAGCGGCAUCGGUUCAACCACAGAGGGACUGGAGACUGGGCAGCCACGUGGGAGGUCGGCCGGGUAUACCGACCAAGUUCCAAUAAAAACCCUCGACACCAAGGCUUCCCAGGCUGGCAAUGCUCUGUGCGCAUCUUCUCGUAACGUUGCCAGGAAAGUCACUGUGGCCGGCGAUUCCACAAGGAGGACGCUGCUCCCUGCGCCUCUCCCCUCGGCUGGUUUUAAUCUGUGUCCUUUUGCUGUAAUAAACCAUAACUGUGAGUACACCA